UUAUGCCUACGGGGGGCAGCAGUGGGGAAUAUUGCACAAUGGGGGAAACCCUGAUGCAGCAACGCCGCGUGAGUGAAGAAGGUUUUCGGAUUGUAAAGCUCUGUUAGCAGGGAAGAGGAAGGACGGUACCUGCAGAGGAAGCCACGGCUAACUACGUGCCAGCAGCCGCGGUAAUACGUAGGGAGCGAGCGUUGUCCGGAAUUACUGGGUGUAAAGGGAGCGUAGGCGGGGAUGCAAGUUGGGUGUCAAAACUACCGGCUCAACUGGUAGUCGCACUCAAA
rnacentral:rRNA from 1 species